rnacentral:rRNA from 1 species
UUGGAGGGCAAGUCUGGUGCCAGCAGCCGCGGUAAUUCCAGCUCCAAUAGCGUAUAUUAAAGUUGUUGCAGUUAAAAAGCUCGUAGUUGAAUUUCGGGGUUAGUAGGUUGGUCAUGCCUCUGGUAUGUACUGGUCUCACUGAUUCCUCCUUCCUGAUGAACCGUAAUGCCAUUAAUUUGGUGUUGCGGGGAAUUUGGACUGUUACUUUGAAAAAAUUAGAGUGUUCAAAGCAGGCCUAUGCUCGAAUACAUUAGCAUGGAAUAAUAGAAUAGGACGCGUGGUUCUAUUUUGUUGGUUAUAGGACCGCCGUAAUGAUUAAUAGGGACAGUCGGGGGCACCAGUAUUCAGCUGUCAGAGGUGAAAUUCUUGGAUUUGCUGAAGACUAACUACUGCGAAAGCAUUUGCCAAGGAUGUUUUCAUUAAUCAAGAACGAAAGUUAGGGGAUCGAAGACGAUCAGAUACCGUCGUAGUCUUAACCAUAAACUAUGCCGACUAGGGAUCGGAUGAUGUUAAUUUUUUAAUGACUCAUUCGGCGCCUUACGGGAAAC